rnacentral:RNase_P_RNA from 1 species
GACGCAGGACAGGUGAUCGCGGCUGCAAGUGUCGAAAGACCGCAGGUGAGGAAAGUCCGGGCUUCACAGGGCAGGAUGCCGGUUAACGGCCGGUGGAGGAAACUCUAAGGAAAGUGCAACAGAAAUAUACCGCCAGAUCUUUCUGGUAAGGGUGGAAUGGCAGUGUAAGAGACUACCGCCUCGCUGGUAACAGGGAGGGCACAUGUAAACCCCAUCUGAAGCAAGACCGAAUAAAAGCGAUGACGUGGCCCGCCAGCUUUAGGUAGGUCGCUUGAGACCAUUGGCGACAGUGGUUCUAGAUAGAUGAUCACCCAACGACAUAACCCGGCUUAUCGUUCUGCUAAUCUG